rnacentral:misc_RNA from 1 species
UUUCCGUAGGUGAACCUGCGGAAGGAUCAUUAUUGGAUUUUGAAACUUCAGGCUGCUGCUGGCUCUCCUCGGAGGGCAUGUGCACGCUUGUUGUCCAUUAUUUCUCCCACUGUGCACAAAUUGUAGACCUUUCAGUAGGCCUAUGUUGUUUUUCACAGUCUCUGAAUGUAAUAGAAUGGUUUUGAAUCUUGGGAAAUACAAUACAACUUUCAGCAACGGAUCUCUUGGCUCUC